GGAGGGAUGGCCGAGUGGCUUAAGGCGCACGCUUGGAAAGCGUGUUUAGGGUAAUACCCUAACGUGGGUUCGAAUCCCACUCCCUCCGCCA
rnacentral:tRNA from 1 species